CAGGAAGCUUCUCACAGGCUCUGCUCAAGCUUUCGCACGCCAAGAAGGAUGCACGAAUCCUGGGCGAAGUUUAAAAAGGCGUUGGUAGAUGAAUUCCCAGACAUAGUGAGUGACCGGGAGGUACAUCAAGAAUUAGGACAUAGAACGAAAAGAACAGACGAGAGUCUGCUUCAGCAUAUGUAUAAUAUGCGUGAGAUUGCGGGACAAGGAAGAGUCGAUACACAGUCGGUAAUCUAUAUUAUCUGGACUAUAUUAUCCAGGGU
rnacentral:misc_RNA from 1 species